rnacentral:lncRNA from 1 species
CUUUUUUACAAAUUUAUUCAAACAUUUUGAACAAAAUUUAAGUUUGAUAUCAUGAUUUAUUACAAAUGCAUUGCAAUGUAAUAAUUGGAUGUAAAGACUUCCACAUUUAUCUGUUUUGUUUUUUUAAAAAGAAAUAUGCAAUUUGAUUAUUAGAUGGGGAAACUGUACCUAUAUUCUGUGUUGGUAGAAAUCUGAUCAGACAAUUUCUGCAAUAGAACAUGGUGCUCAUAAAUUAUUGCAUUGUGCUUCCAACCAUAUUCUUCAUCAAUAACCAUUUUUAAACCAGGAAUAUUCUUUUCUCAGUAAAAUAUAGUUAGAAUUCAUUGAAUAUUUCAUAUUGCUUAGUUCAUGUUUGCUAAAUACGGAAUGAAUUGAUUAUUAUCACAGAUUUUACUGUAGAUUAUUUGUCAUCGUGUCUUAUUAUUUUUAUAAUGAUUGAUUUAAAGACUAUUUUAAAAGUGUAGGCAAAGUUCAGUUUUACUGUGUCCCCUAAACAAUAUAUGAUUAUUCAGUAAGUUAAGGGAGUUCGCUUCUCAGUUUCAAAGUAAUUAACUUUUCAAAGCACUAGUUUAUAUUGAUAGGGAAUUAAUUAAGAAAUCCAAAAUGCAGAAAAUAUAUAAAGAUCACCGUGCUUGUUUUCGAGAUAUAAGUAUUUGAAAUUUUGGCGGGAAAAUAUUCUCUCUUGACUUUUUAUAGCUUUAUCAUUGACAAGCUGAAGUUCUCAAAAACUGUUAAAAAGUAAUUAAAAUUUUAUAAGACUUUUACAGAUGGCUUAUCAUUAUACAUGUAAAAGAUUUUCAUAAAGAAAAAUGGGGGUCACUUGGCAAAUUUUUCAAGGCAUUCAAAUGGAUAAAACCAGAGGAUUCCGAAAAUCUGACAAAAAAUCCAAAACAUGACAAGCCAGCUUCCUUAACUGUUUGAAAAGGUAAUAGUCAAACCACCUGACAGUAAUUUAAUAUUGAGAUUUAUAUAUCUCUUUCUUAAUAUUUAAUUAUUUUUUAACAAUCAGAACAGGUCUGACUACUUAAAAGUAAUUGGUUAAAACAACAAUUUUUGCUUUAACUUAAAGGCAUGCAAUAAAGUUGUAACUUAUUGAGGACUUUCACAGUAUGAAAAUUGCACCUUAUUUGAUGUACUAAGCGCAAUGAAAAGAU